rnacentral:rRNA from 1 species
UAGGGAAUCUUCCGCAAUGGACGCAAGUCUGACGGAGCAACGCCGCGUGAGUGAAGAAGGAUUUCGGUUCGUAAAACUCUGUUGUUAGAGAAGAACAGCGCAUAGAGUAACUGUUAUGCGUGUGACGGUAUCUAACCAGAAAGCCACGGCUAACUACGUGCCAGCAGCCGCGGUAAUACGUAGGUCCCGAGCGUUGUCCGGAUUUAUUGGGCGUAAAGCGAGCGCAGGCGGUUAGAUAAGUCUGAAGUUAAAGGCAGUGGCUCAACCAUUGUAGGCUUUGGAAACUGUGUAACUUGAGUGCAGAAGGGGAGAGUGGAAUUCCAUGUGUAGGGGUGAAAUGCGUAGAUAUAUGGAGGAACACCGGUGGCGAAAGCGGCUCUCUGGUCUGUAACUGACGCUGAGGCUCGAAAGCGUGGGGAGCGAACAGG